rnacentral:rRNA from 1 species
UACGAAGGGUGCAAACGUUGCUCGGAAUCAUUGGGCGUAAAGCGCACGUAGGCGGCUUCGCAAGUCGGAUGUGAAAUACCUAGGCUCAACCAAGGACGUGCAUCCGAAACUGCGAGGCUUGAGUACAGAAGAGGAUCGCGGAAUUCCCGGUGUAGAGGUGAAAUUCGUAGAUAUCGGGAGGAACACCAGUGGCGAAGGCGGCGAUCUGGGCUGAUACUGACGCUGAGGAGCGAAAGCAUGGGGAGCGAACAGG